rnacentral:rRNA from 1 species
GUAACUGCGAGUGAAGCGGGAGAAGCUCAAAUUUGAAAUCUGGCAUGUUUAUUUCAAACUGUCCGAGUUGUAAUCUAGAGAAGCGUUACCUGUGCUGGACCGUGUACAAGUCUCCUGGAAUGGAGCAUCACAGAGGGUGAGAAUCCCGUCUUUGACACGGACUACCUGUACGCCGUGGUGCGCUCUCAAAGAGUCGAGUUGUUUGGGAAUGCAGCUCAAAAUGGGUGGUAAAUGCCAUCUAAAGCUAAAUACUGGCGAGAGACCGAUAGCGAACAAGUACCGUGAGGGAAAGAUGAAAAGAACUUUGGAAAGAGAGUUAAACAGUACGUGAAAUUGCUGAAAGGGAAACGCUUGAAGUCAGUCGUGUUGGCUGGAAAUCAGCCUUGCUUUUGCUUGGUGCACUUUCCGGUCCGACGGGUCAGCAUCAAUUUCGACCAUCGGACAAAGUCUCUGGGAACGUGGCAUCCUUUUGGAUGUGUUAUAGCCCGUUGUCGCAUACGGUGGUUGGGAUUGAGGAACUCAGCACGCCUGCAAAGGCCGGGUUUCGACCACGCUUUUUCGUGCUUAGGAUGCUGGCAUAAUGGCUUUAAUCGACCCGUCUUGAAACACGGACCAAGGAGUCUAACAUGCCUGCGAGUGUUUGGGUGGAAAACCCAUGCGCGAAAUGAAAGUGAAAGUUGAGAUCCCCUGUAAAAAAGGGGGAGCAUUGACGCCCGGACCAGAGCUUCUGUGACGGAUCCGCGGUAGAGCAUGUAUGUUGGGACCCGAAAGAUGGUGAACUAUGCCUGAAUAGGGUGAAGCCCGAGAAACUCUGGUGGAGGCUCGUAGCGAUUCUGACGUGCAAAUCGAUCGUCAAAUUUGGGUAUAGGGGCGAAAGACUAAUCGAACCAUCUAGUAGCUGGUUCCUGCGAAGUUUCCCUCAGGAUAGCAGAAACUCAUAUCAGAUUUAUGUGGUAAAGCGAAUGAUUAAAGGCCUUUGGGUUGAACAACCUUAACC